rnacentral:lncRNA from 1 species
UUUUUUCGAGUGUGAAUACUCCACCAACAUAUGGGGUUCAAUACUCUUAACAUGGAUAAAAGGGCCUACACAGAUAGGAAAUUGGGAGGAUGAACUACAAUGGGUGACGAACUAGAGGCCAUAAAAGUAGACCGCUCGCAGAAAUAUUGGGUUGGUUGUACGCAACAAGUGUCUACCAUAUAUGGAAUGAAAGGAAUUCAAGACGAUUCUCACAACAGCACACACUUGCUGCCAAUCGAUUAAAGAAAAUUUGUCUCCCCAACUGCACACCAAAGGACAUUUGAAUCUGAAGUGGAAGCCAAUUCUUGAUCAUUUGAAUGCUUACCCUGUCUAGAUAAAAAAAAUUCUGUAAAUAUAAUAUAUAGAUAGUUAGUUGAUCUUUCGAGGACUAGUUCUAGAGUCCAAACAAACUAGCAGUGUACGUAUGCUAUUUGGUUGAAUGAAUUAUUAUUUUUUACAA